AAAAAAGGUGAUUAAUCCUCUCUGUCCUCCCUCCCUCCCCUCUUCGUCUCUCCUCCCUACCGUAUCCUCGCUCCCUCUUCUCUUUCACGCAACGGAGCUGUCGUCCAGCGGUCACCAACGACCGUCAAAUGACAUCUCCAGAAUCUCUUUCCGUCCUCUUUCCAAACCACAGGUAUGGGAGCGGCAUACGGGACGAUGAAGACCGGAGUUGGAGUGGCGACGAUGGGUGUGAUGAGGCCAGAGCUGGUGAUGAAGUCGAUCGUGCCGGUGGUUGUAGCGCGAGUUUUGGGUGGAGCGAAGGUGAAAGCUGACGAAGAUGUUCCACAGAGAGGUUCCUGAAGCUUAUGAUCGGCCUCUCUUCUCAGGUAUUGAUGUAACUUCAUUUUAAUGCAGUAUGAUGCUUUUAGAGAUUGUUUUGGCCAAACAAUUUCUCUGUGCACACUAAUAAACUAUAUCAAUUUCUCUGUGCACAAAUAAACUUUACUAAGCUUAGAGAUUGUUUAGGCUGAAUAAUUUUUCUUUAAUUUAUAAUGUUGAUUUCUUGUUUGAGUUUCACAUGUGAUUGAUCUAUCAAGAACAGAAACCGAGGUGCUCCUAUUGGUCACGAUU